CCUACGGGCGGCAGCAGUGGGGAAUAUUGCGCAAUGGGCGAAAGCCUGACGCAGCGACGCCGCGUGAGGGAUGAAGGUCUUCGGAUCGUAAACCUCUGUCAGCAGGGAAGAACGGUCACUGUGCUAAUCAGCAGUGAAUUGACGGUACCUGCAAAGGAAGCACCGGCUAACUCCGUGCCAGCAGCCGCGGUAAUACGGAGGGUGCGAGCGUUAAUCGGAAUUACUGGGCGUAAAGCGCUCGUAGGCGGUAUGUCAAGUCAAGGGUGAAAUCCCCGCGCUCAACGUGGGAACUGCCUUUGAAACUGGCAAACUGGAGUGGGUGAGAGGAUAGUGGAAUGCCAGGUGUAGGAGUGAAAGCCGUAGAUAUCUGGAGGAACAUCAGUGGCGAAGGCGACUAUCUGGCACAUAACUGACGCUGAGGAGCGAAAGCGUGGGUAGCAAACAGGAUUAGAUACCCUAGUAGUC
rnacentral:rRNA from 1 species